rnacentral:rRNA from 1 species
AGUGAACGCUGGCGGUAGGCCUAACACAUGCAAGUCGAACGGCAGCACAGUAAGAGCUUGCUCUUACGGGUGGCGAGUGGCGGACGGGUGAGGAAUACAUCGGAAUCUACUUUUUCGUGGGGGAUAACGUAGGGAAACUUACGCUAAUACCGCAUACGACCUACGGGUGAAAGCAGGGGAUCUUCGGACCUUGCGCGAUUGAAUGAGCCGAUGUCGGAUUAGCUAGUUGGCGGGGUAAAGGCCCACCAAGGCGACGAUCCGUAGCUGGUCUGAGAGGAUGAUCAGCCACACUGGAACUGAGACACGGUCCAGACUCCUACGGGAGGCAGCAGUGGGGAAUAUUGGACAAUGGGCGCAAGCCUGAUCCAGCCAUACCGCGUGGGUGAAGAAGGCCUUCGGGUUGUAAAGCCCUUUUAUGGGGAAAGAAAAGCAGCAGGUGAAUAGCCCGCUGUACUGACGGUACCCAAAGAAUAAGCACCGGCUAACUUCGUG